AAGGUAGCAUAAUAAUUUGUUUUUUAAAUGGGAACUGGAAUGAAUGGUUUAACGCUGAUUACUUUUCUUUUUUAUUAAGUGUAGAAAUUAGAGUAAAAGUAAAAAUACUUUUAUUUUUUAAAUAGACGAUAAGACCCUAAAAGCUUUAUUAGCGCGGCGGGUUUUUAUAUACUACUUAGCUUAUACAAUUUCACUGGGGCAGUAUUUUUAAUAAGAUAAAAAAAUAAUUAAACUCGUAAAAGGUUGAUUGAACCUUAAUAUUAGGGUGUUUGUUUAAGUUACUUUAGGGAUAACAGCAUAAUAUCCCCAGAGAGACCAUAUUUAUGGGGGUGAUUGUGACCUCGAUGUUGAAUUAAUAAAUCUAUACGGAGCAGUGUUCGUAAAAGAAGGUUUGUUCAACCUUUAAAUUAUUACAUGAUCUGAGUUCAAACCGG
rnacentral:rRNA from 1 species